rnacentral:lncRNA from 1 species
GGGGGCGUGACCCGCGCUCCUAGGUCCAGCCUCCUGCUCGUCUAGUGCCUGCUCGCAGUGUGGAAAGACGACCCGGGUUUCAGAACAGCAAGGCUCCAUUUCACAGAUGAGAGAAAUUGAGGCCCGAACGGAGAAGCGGCUGGCUCUGGAUAGCCCAGAGAGCCUGGGUUUCCGGACCCUCUUGGAAGAUGCUUCUCGGACCCUGAUCUACAAAUAUCAGGACCGAAAUUUAAAGCGGGCGCUCCUUUACAUCUGCUCCCCUGGGCUUUCUCAAUUCCUAAAUAAUGUUGCUGUUCGUGUUCCUGAGACCCGGAGGGCCUACCCAGAUCCCUCCCGGGUGGGAGCAAU